rnacentral:misc_RNA from 1 species
UACGUAGGUGGCAAGCGUUGUCCGGAAUUAUUGGGCGUAAAGCGCUUGCAGGCGGUCUUUUAAGUCUGAUGUGAAAUCUCGCGGCUCAACCGCGAACGGUCAUUGGAAACUGGAAGACUUGAGUGCAGAAGAGGAGAGUGGAAUUCCACGUGUAGCGGUGAAAUGCGUAGAUAUGUGGAGGAACACCAGUGGCGAAGGCGACUCUCUGGUCUGUAACUGACGCUGAGGCGCGAAAGCGUGGGGAGCGAACUCG